GGCUUCGGGCUGGGUGUGCGGAGGGGACACCUGGAUCCGGAAGGCGGGGGCCGGGGCUCCGACGCCCGUGUCCCAAAGGGCUCCGGAGGAUGGCUGGGACUCCUAGGUCCCUGGGGAGGGUAUACUGGGCAAGGUGAUCGGUGCCAGGCCUUUUGGGAGGGGGCUGGGCUGCCGGGAUCCGCGGUGGCGAUGGGAUGCGCACCGGCCCCAGUGCAGAUGUGGCCGCCGCCGGGCGCCCGCGCCGGUGUCUCGCGCCGGCUUGGAGCUCCGAAGAGGCGCCGCCUCCCCCACCCCACUUGCAGGAGACCCCACUUUCUUCCUCCCACAGACCCCUGUAGCCCCUGCGAGGCCCCCCCAAACCCAAUAAUGGUUCGGUCCUCAUCCACAUCAAUGUUUAUUCUCUGAGACCGGGUCCCAGUGGUGACAUUCCUUCCCCCUCCUUUUCCCGCUCCGUGAAGUGGCCCGGGGCCCAGCCCCGCCUCCACCUUUCCCUCAGCCAAUUCCCACCCAGCACCGGGGGCCUCAUUUGCAUUUCCGGGACCAGCUGCCCAAUCAGAAGGCAAGACCACGCCUCCUCUCCCACGGGGGUGGCUCUCCUGGCGGACUGCACCACUCUUGGGAUCCAUGGAUGAAGGAAGAGGCAUCCAUCAACGUCUGGGUGACGAGGAGGGUGGGUCCUUCCUUCAAGUCAGGGCCUGGAGUUCAGCAACAGGGGGUUGCUCUUGCCUUGGAAGAAGCUUAGCAGUCCCAUGUCUGGGACUGGCUCCUUAAUGAUCUUCUGGAUCUGCAGGCAGAGGAGGUCAAGAAGUCAAGGGCCGGCCCCCAUGGCAUCUCCACGAUAUCGAAUCUGAGGAGCACCCCUUCAUCUUCAUCUCCCUUAUUAUUCUGACAGCAUCAUUCAUCCAGUCAACCACUUAACAGUCUUCUCGGUGGCCUCUUCCUCCCUCACACUCGCCUGGCUGAGCUACACCCCAUCGCCUAUGUUGGGCUGCUCGGUUGCCUUGGACCACUGAUGACGGAUGGCUCUGUCUUAGGGCCUCUUGCCUACACCUUCCCUUCUUCACUCAUCUUUCCCGUCAUUCCUUUAAGCCUUCGGCUCCCACACAGGUCCAGACUGUGACCAUGAACUCUCAACUCAUUCACACAAGUCCCUCUUGGUUGAACACGAGUAACUAACCACAUUACCUUCAUCAGUUCAUCUCCAGACAACUAAACCAAAACAAAAAAAAAACCCACAAAUCCCUCAAUCUCCACUGCCUCUUCCCAGUUAAGUCCCACAGCUGAUCGAAGGAUGUGCAAAGGUCAGUCUCCUUUCUGUCCUAGGCCACCUAAUGAAAUCCCUUGGCUAUUCUAUAAGGUACCAAUUCGAUGGUGGCCAGCUCCCACUUUUUCCUUUUUCUUUUAAAUAAAGCAUAGUUGAAGCAUA